CUUUUUCUCUCUUCAACGGUCCUGUGCCCAGUGUUCCUCUGCUGCCCUCGGGUGGUCAGAGUCGCAGCGCUGGCGCAGCUCGGUAUUACCAAGGAUGCCAUCUUCUCUCCAUGAUGUCAGCUCUACCGACAGGAACCAAGAUUGACCGAAGUCUGUGGCAGCUCUGUUCGCGCCGUUUCGGCGGCGCUUGAGCGGGGUGUAAACUGAUUUUACGAGAUGCUAUAUUCCAAGCCGUUCGCAGAGACCGUCGGUCUGUGAUGCUGGGGGAAACCAUAGCGACCUACAUUU
rnacentral:sRNA from 1 species